rnacentral:rRNA from 1 species
UACGGAGGGUGCGAGCGUUGUCCGGAAUCACUGGGCGUAAAGGGCGCGUAGGUGGCGCCGCAAGUCAACGGUGAAAGCUCGACGCUUAACGUCGAGUCGGCCGUCGAGACUGCGGGGCUCGAGCACUGUAGAGGCUCAUGGAAUUCCGGGUGUAGCGGUGGAAUGCGUAGAGAUCCGGAAGAACACCGGUGGCGAAGGCGGGUCUCUGGACAGUUCUUGACGCUGAGGCACGAAGGUCAGGGGAGCAAACGGG